rnacentral:tRNA from 1 species
UCCCCUGUGGCUCAGUUGGUAGAGCAUGGUGUUUGCAACGCCAGCAUGGUGUGUGCAACACCAGGGUUGUGGGUUUGAUUCCCACGGGGGGCC